AAUCUUAUAUUUUAUAAUAAAAUAUUAAAUUGCAAGUUUAAAGAAGAAAUUAUCUAAGAUUU
rnacentral:tRNA from 1 species